AGGAGGCAGGGCCGAGCUCGGCCGGCUCCCACCGCGCGCCACCGUCGCCGCUGGUUCCCAUCGCGAGUAGGGCGGGGCUGGAACGGCUCCGCUCGCUCCAUGGAGUCUGCCUGAGACCGGUGAAGACAGAAGAGGGCUCCGGAUAACGUGCAGCGGAACCCCAGCACUUAAAAUGGACAGGGAGGAAGGGGCUCCAGAAGAGAGGUCAGAGGAGUGUCCAGGAAGAGGGGAAAACCCAGAGAGAAGCGUGCUUUCAAGGACACCAAGAUUAGCAAUGUCAGAGUCAACUGUUGCCAAGAAGCAGGAGAGAGAGACAGCAUGAGCAGGGGAGGGUCACAGAGAGAGGGAG